CCCUUAGAUGUUCUGGGCCGCACGCGUGCUACACUGAGUGGAUCAGCGGGUCAGGUUGCGCGAAAGUGUUUCCUAAUCUUUAAAUCCGCUCGUGAUGGGGAUUGACGGUUGCAAUUUUCCGUCAUGAACGAGGAAUACCUUGUAAGCGCGGGUCAUCAUCCCGCGCUGAAUACGUCCCUGCCCUUUGUACACACCGCCCGUCGCUCCUACCGAUUGAGUGGUCCGGUGGGGCUUUGGGAUCUGAGCGGAAAGAGCGUUUCGCUGUUUCUGCCCGGAAAACUCAGUCGAACCUUAUCAUUUAGAGGAAGGAGAAGUCGUAACA
rnacentral:rRNA from 1 species